rnacentral:lncRNA from 1 species
AUUAAGGUACAAUUUACACAUUUCUAACUUUGAAGCACAAUAUUUCCAAAUGAAUUUUCUUCAACCCAACAAUGGCAAUACAUAACCAAAAUGUCAAGACAUUUCUCACCAUUACCAAAACAUAGUGCCAAAGCCUAAAUUGCACAAAAUCUUCAACUAAAAUCACAAAACCCUUUAUUUUUCAAAGACCCAACAAAUGGCAGUACACAAUCAAAACACAAACCCUAAUUUCCUUCAACCCAACAAAAAAAUUUACCUCUUUGAAGUUAUCGCACUCAAAGAAUUUUCUCCCUUUGUUCCGUGGAGUAUUCGCAUUGCAAAUGGAAGCCUUUAACCCCCAAUGGUAGUAUAAAAAAGUUGAAUAAGACAUUUAUGAAUAGAUAAACCCUAAGAGAAUCCCUAAUACAAAGUUAACAAAAAUAAUGAACAUAUGAAAAACUUAGAAAAUGAAAGAUGUAGAAAACGAUGAAAAAACAAUGGAAAAUUUAGAAAUAUGGUGCAAGGAGAAAAAUUAAAUGGAAAGUUUUUUAAGGGAUUUUUUUAAAGGAAAUUUAAUUAAAGGAGUCCAGUCACUUGCCAAUAGGAUGCCACGUGGCAUCGUGCCAUUGGCCAAUGCUACCAUAUCAUAAAAAAACUAAGGGCAUUAGACUCAAAUAUCAAUUUAGUUGAUGAAAAAAAAUUGAAUACCAAUUUGGGAUAAAAAAAAAAACUUUAAGUACCAAUUUAAGAUAAAUAAACAAAUUCAAGUAACAAUUAUAUAUUUUUCCCUAAAAUAUAUAACAUAUGAACACUUAUCAAAACCUAUGAUAACUUGAAACCAAACUAACCCGAAUUUAAAAAUAACCCUGUAAUUAGCCAAUUUUGGCCUAAGCCCAAAGCAAGAAUAAGACGAAAGCAAUAAAACCCAAAUAAACAAAUAAACAAAAAAAAGAAAAGAAAAAGAGAGAGUCUACAUUUAAAGUCCAAAAUUACAAAUUAAAACCCAUUACAUGUUGAAAUCCAAACCCAAACAGCCCAUUACAUCAAACCCUAGCCCAAAUCCUAGCCUAUUAUCCUAAAUUUUUUUCAGCAAACUAACCCUAGGGCUAGUCCCUAUUGCGGCCGCCGCUCCCACCAUUGGCCUCCCCACGCAUGCUCAGCCACCUCACGCGCCAACCACUGUUCACCCACGCCUCUGACACCUGCAGAAGAAGUAAAUGCAACAAAGACAAGGAAGAAAACGACAAAAAAAAGGAUUGAAUCGUCUUGUAAACGGCUUUAAAAGCCACAAUCUCACCCUUGUAAAUUUUUUACAAACACUUACGAACAUUUUACGAGAAUAUAUAAAAAAGCAGAACAAUUUUUAGGUGAUUUUUCGCUUAAGUUUCCGUUUUAUUUUUAUUUCAUUGGUUAUUUUUAUUUUUUGUUUUUUGUUUUGCAUUCGAAAAUAAGUAAAGAAACCUCACCUGAAUCUCCACGGACGUGAAGUCGGAAAGCUUUCUCCGUCGUUGCAAUCGGGUUCGAAAGGGGGGCGAGGGUUCUCUUCUUUUGUUUCUUAUAGGACGCUGAAGGUUUGGCCUUCAAAGGGGCUUUGAAAUGGGGUUGGAAUGCCCAUUUUUGCGCGUAGCCGGCCACCGAAUGCAGUGGUGGUGCGGCGGGCAGCGAGAGAACCCGAUCAUCAGAAGAAGAUGAGAGGGAGAGAGAGUUGGAAAGGCUCUUUAGUUUUUUUCUUUUUUUUUUUAGUUUAGGGUUAAUUUGAGUUUUUUUUUUUAAAGUUUGGGCCUUUGAUUCAACAUUUAAACAGUGUCAUUUGGUGGGGUGGGGAUCCGCGCAUUGACCUGACCCGCAUGUCAGGUCCACCCGUUUUCGUUUUAAAGGGGCGAUUUGCGUAAAUGGUCCCUCCUUCUUUCCUGCACCAUUCGAUUAAGUCCCAUUCCAUUUUCUUUGUCUUCUAAUUUUACCCUAAAAUUUGCGCGUCAUUUCAUUUUGGCCCAGGAUGAAGCACAGCUCAUUGAGGGGUCUGGGGUAUUUUUCCUUUUGCCCCCUUUAUUUUUGGUUUGUUGCGAAUUGGUCCAUCAUUUCAUUUUCGUUACUUAGGAUUUAUACCCGAAACUCUAAUCUAUUUUCAAUCGCAUCCUAAACCUAUUUUAUUCAUUUUCUUUUUAAAAACUGUUUAUUAUGUUAUUUUAAAAUAUUUUAUAUAUAAUUUACAUCGGAUUAUUUUUAUAUAUAUUUAUUUUAACUUGUUUUAUGUACUUUUAUUCGAAAUUGUUUUAUUAUAUAUUUUAAAUUGCCUUAUAUAUAUUUAUUUAUUUCUAAAUUAUUUUAUAUAUAUUAUUUAUUUUAGAUUCUUUCCCCAUAUUAUAUACAUAUUGCUUUUCAAAUUUUUAUAUAUAUAUCAUUCUUUUUAAAACUGUUUUGUACGCCAUUUAUUUUAAAUUUCUUUUUACAUAUUAUUUUAAACUUUUAGUAUAUAAAUUUUAAACUAACUUAUAUUACUUAUUUUAAAUUAUUUCAUAUGCCUUAUUUUAAACUCUUUUCAUUUAUUUUAAAUUUUAUUAUUAUUAUUUACUUUAAUAUUCUUUAUAAUAUUUAUUUUACACUUUUAUAUUUAUAUAUUAUCUAUUUUAAAAUUAUAUAUAUAAUCUAUUUUUAAAUCAUUUUAUACAUAGUUGAUUUUAUUUUUUUUACAUUAUUUUGAACUCAUUUAUUACCAUUUUCAAAAUCGUUUUACAUUUUAUUUAUUUUAAUUUAGUUUAUACUUUUUAUUUUUAAGAUUGAUAUAUAUAUGAUAUUUGUUUCAUUACUUUCUAAUUAUUAAUGUUAAUAUUUAAAUAAUGUAUGUUGUGUGAUUAUUUUUAUUGUGUAUUUUAAUUCGUUGAUUUCGUAUUUUUUGUAUUUUUGUUGUUCACUUGUAUAAUAUUGUAUUCAUGUAUCAUUGUUCUAUACUCAUCACUAUUUUUCUUUUUUUGUGCCAUCGCAUUGUGAAUUAACCCAACGUAUUUAUCCAACUUGGAUCGCUUGAUUUUAUUCCAAACAAAAUAAAUGUACGUUGUUAAAUAUUAAACUUAAAAAGAAAAUUUUCUAAAUAAGGUAAUAUUUCGCGUUUUAAGAAAUUCGAGGAAUCAUGCCCUAACUUACGGGGUUUCGGUUUUCUCGUUAAACCCAAAUAGCCUAAUAUCCUUUCAAGUUCCAAAAUGUAUGAAAUUUCAAUUAAAAUUAAAGACAAACUUGCGCUCGGGAGUUCAAGGUAUCGCGUCUUAAUUUAAGGGAUGUGAUACUUUGAUAUCUCGAGACAAGGAAAUCUUUAGCAAUUGUUUUGAUCUAAUUCAAGCGCUUUUAAAAUCGACGUUAAUAAUAAUAAAAAGAUAGUAUUUUAUAUUCGUUUCCAAUUUUUAACUUUCGACAUUAAGACACUAACUAAUCGAUUCAAUACCAAUUUUGGGUGUGACGAGAGUGCUAAUCCUUUCUCACACAUAACCGACUCCCGAAUCCGUUCUCUCGAGUUUCGUAAACUAAAAACACCGUUUUAGUAAACUAAAACAUUUUAUUAAAACAAAGGUGAUCCGAUCACAUCUAAUAAAAAUCGAUGGCGACUCCCGUUUUAAUUUUUAUUUUCAAACAAAGUCGAUUUCCGUUUUCAAAAAUGGUUUCGACAAACCCGAUUUGAGCUCCACCAAACCCAUCCCUUUACCACCUCUAUUCGAGAUGGACGAAAUAUUAAAAAAGUUUUAAACUGGAAUUUUUUCAUUCUCUUUCUUUGUCCAUAUAUAUUAUAUUUAUAAAUAUAAUCCAACAAAAAGUGUUCUAAGCUAUGCGGGAUUCUAUUUCUUAGAUGGCAAAUAAUUCUCAUUAAACACUGGAAAUUUCACAUGUGAAUUUUUUUAUUUUAGAUUUAAGUAGGAUAAAUUGGCUAAAAGAUUAAGUAUUUAUUUUUAUUUACUCACUUUUAAAAAUUUAAUUAAAAUAAUUUUUUUCAAAUAAAUUAAUUUAUUCAAUUUUUAAAUUAAAAAACAUAAAAAAUCAAUUUACAAAAUAUCUUCAUAGUAAAAAAAAAAAAAUCAUGCAAACAUGUCAUUUCACCAAUACCUUUAAAAAUGACAUCUAGCUUUAAAGUUUAAACGUAAUAAGUUGAAAUUACAGCAGCAAUUAUAACAUAAUUAACAUGGAAAAUUUUCCUCUUUUUUCUCCAAUGGGCUGCUUGGCUUUUUUUCCUUUUCCUUUCUUUGUAAAACAAUUCACAUAUUGAGCUGCUAUACUCUUUUAUAAUUAUUCUUACAUGCUUGUCAUGUAUUUUUUUUAUAUUUAUAUCUUUUAUCAAUUUAAUUUUUUUUUUCAGCUAAAUUUUAUUAUUAAUUUAUAAAAAAGAGUUAAAUCGUCCUUUUUUAACAGAAUGCUAAUUAAAAUAUUAAAUUUUUAACGAUGUUAAUGUGUGAACUUGUGUGGUAGUCCAAAAAUACUGCAUAUUGACAUGACAUUAUUUAUUUUAUAUGAUACUUUAACAAAUAUUUUUAAAAUUAUAAAAAAUAAAAAAAUAAUUUAAUAUUUUAGUUAAAAAUUUUUGUUAAAAAAUAGUAAUUCAAUUUUUUUUUAAAAAUUAAGAGAUAUUUUUGUUUGACUAACAGUAUGCAUAUAAUAUUAAACAAGUAGAGAGGGUUGUGAGUAGUAGAGCUUCAACAUUGAAAAAUGAGAAACCCACAUUGAUGCAUUUUUCACAUGAAUAAAAAGGUUGUUGGAUAUUACUUUUCGUUUAUUCAAAUUCAAUUUGACAAUUAAUUCAACAUUCAAUUCAGCAGACUUACUGUUUUUCUGCUUCAUUUCAUUUCAUACAUACUCUCUUUUUUACUCACUUCCCCUUUCCAUAUAUUUUUAACCUAAUAAUACUUUUCAAAAUUAUUUAAUAAUUAGAAACCAGUAUUUUGUUUAUGUGUCAAUGGUAUAUUAAUAUUAUAUUAAUAUUAUUUAUUAGGCAUUUAUGAUUAGCGACUCAAAAAUUAGAUAAGGUCCGAGUCGUCUAUUCACGAUUUAGAUAGGACCCACCAUUCGGGUACAUACAAGCCUUACGAUAUGAAGCUCGUAAAGGGUGUUUGCAAGGGAGUGUCUAUCAGGCAACCUGGAGCAAUACACAUGUCCAACAUGUAUAGAGUCUAUUAAGAACGUCAAUUCUAUGAAUAGUAGCCAUACAUAUAAAUAUUUAAUUGUUCUCUCUAAUGAGACAACGAAAAAUUAAUCAAUAUUAUUAAUAUUCAGUUGUAAAUGAGAAAUAUUAAUUUUAAGUUCAUUUUAAACUUGUGAUGGAUUUAUAAGCAUUUGAAUAUUUUCUUUUGUCAAAUUUGUGUUGCUAAAAUUUUCUUAGUCAUUAAUUUUCUCAAUAUAAAUUUCUUCAUUCAACUUAUUUUUGUAAAAUUUUACAUACUAAAAAAAUCAAUUCCUAAACUCAAAUUGUAAUCAGUUUUUUUUUUCUUACUUCUCUUUUGCUUUUUUUUUUCAAAUUAAGAAAUAAAACUACUUUUUAAAGUCCAUAGUAUUUUAAAUAUGAUGGCCACCACUUGACCAAACUAACAAAGAGUUCAUAUGAUAAUUGAAAGUAGUUGAGAUAUUUUGGAUUCUCUUUUAAUUACUACAAAAUGGUUAUUAUAGAAAUAAAAUCAAUUACCAAAUUAAUUUAAGCCAACUUUUUUUUAUGUUUUGAGAUCUUAAUUAAAAAUUAAUUAAAAUGGGUUUGAUAAUACGAAAGUCUUAAGUCUUGAGUAUCUAAAUUCGAGAUUUAUUAUGUACAAUAUGUGUAGGUCUCCGAAUUCUAUCAUGUAUGAGAUUUUUAGUUUGGUUAGUUUUAGUUUAUUGGAUUGUAUAAAUUUUUAGUUUAUUUGUGCCAUAAUAAUUUGAUACUAAUGGUUGCUUAGACUUGUAUUUAUAAUUUUUUGAUAAUUUAAGUUUAAACAUUAUUCUAUUUAAAUAUACGUGUGCAUUUGUUAUUCGAAUGCAAGCUAUUUGUAAUUGUAAUUGUAAUAGUAAAAAGGAAAUAAAGUAUUCUGCCAAAUCCUCUCCUAUUCUUUAUUUUUAUAUCUCGUCAUGAAAUUGUAUCAUUACAAAGGGACUUGAAUUCAAAAGCAGCCCUUUUGAUUCUGUGUGUGUAGAGAAUAUAAUUAAUAAAUCAAUUUUAGAACAAAAUUAAAUUAAAAAAAAAAAAGUAGGUGUCCAAGAAUCUUCAAACUCUGUGACAGCUGCUGCUACAAUCUUUUACCAAAAUUUUAAAUCCAAUAAUUUACCUACAACUUCAUGUCAAUAAAAUUAUUAACCCCAUUUUCAAUUUACUCCCAAAAUUACCAUUAAUUUUUUAAAAAAAUGUUUUGAUACAUUAAGCAUACUUUUAAUUUUUUAACAAAAAUUAUGAUUUACAAAAAAAUAUAUUUAACAAUAGAAUUUAAAUUAAAACUUGAUUGAUAAUAUAUUUGUGUUUUGAAAUAUUCUUAGCAAAAAGCAUAGACCUAACUUUCCCUUUUGGUUCUUAUUAUAAAAAGUCUAGAUUUAGAUGAUGGUCACAUUACCCCCACAUGUCACUCUUUUUUUUGAAUUGGGAGCUAACAGCUUAAUCUCCUUUUACGUGCCCUUUUGACCCACCAAACACUCUUUAUAAGUUUUAUGCCAUGGUUUUACUCUCUCUUUUUUUUUUCAUUUACUUAAACUAGAAGCCUCCACACAUUCAAAGAUUUUGAAAUAGACAAAAGAGCAAAAGGAAAUUGAUGAGAAAGUGAACUCAAUUUAGCAUAUUCGUGGCAAUUCGACUUCACAACUUGUGUCUUUGUCAAUGUUAUUAUCUUAAUUUGUUGCUUUUUAUUUGAUUAUGUAAAUUUCCAGGGUUUAAAAUUCGUAAUAAAUUAUGGCCUCAUAAUUGCAUCACCCUUGAAAUCACAAGAUAAGUUUUUGUUAUUUUUGUAUUAUCUAUAUUUAAAAUUGAAAAAAAAAAUUGAGUUUAAAAUUUUUUAGUCUUGAUUUGAUAAUAAUAUUGAGCUGUUUUGAAUUUUAUUUCUCCUAAAUUAUAUGUAGAUUCUUUUCAAAUUUUAUUUUGAUUUAACCUUUACAUUAGUAGAUUAUUGAAUUGUGAUAAUAGAUGUUGAUAAUGGUAAUAGAAUGAAUGUAAAAUAAGCACACACAAAAAUCACGGGCAGAGUAGAAGAAAUUCACAAAUAUUGAAAAAGGAAUAUACAUACAAGAAGAGUUUCGACUACAUCUAUUUUAAGAUUGAAAAACUCUAUUCUAAUUAAUAUUAAAUAGAAUAAGUGUAGUUUUAUACACAUUCUACUUAUGUGUCCCUUAGCCUCUUGCCCCCACAUGAACAAUUAAAAAAAUCAUUCUAAUUUUAAUUCUAAAACAAUUCUAAUAAAAGGGGAAAAUCUUUGAUAUAUUAUUAAAAUAGUUUUUAAACUUUACAAGUAUAAGUGAAUUUAUAAGUGUCUAAUAUAAAUAUAGUAAAAUAUUAAAAAAUAAAUAUAUUUUUUAAAAAUGUGAUAAAUUAUUAAGAUUUCUUAUGAAAUAAAUAAAAAUACACUAUCAAAACACCCGAUACUAACCCAUAAAAAAUAAUAGAAUAUAAAUCCUUUGAAAAAAAGCAAAAACUUUUACCUAUAUAAUAAGUAAUCAAUCGAAUGUGUGACACAUCAAUUGAAUAAAUGGUCCAAAACUCCAUGAGUGCAUUAAAACUUGUAAGCUAGUUCAUAGAAGUUAUUGAGUGAAAGAAACCCUAAUCCAAACAAAACCCCAAACAUUUAAAUCAACGAAAAUGAAAAUCCAACAAAUAAAAAAAAGAAAAGUCAAUUAAAACGUGUCAGGAAUCACAACCAGCCAACUGUUUUUUAUUUCCCUUUUUACCUUCAGCAAUUCCUCUUUACCUUUUUACAUUUUUUUUAAUUUCCACAAAAUUCUAGCCUAACUCUUCCACACGUGUUCGCCUACGUGUCCUCCCGUCUUUUAAGGCACGAUAAACGUUAAACUCUCGAAUAAAAAUUAAAAAUAAAAUAACAAAAGCACAAAAGCUCCAAAAUCCAUAAUUUUUUUUAAUUGCUUUACAGAAUUUGGGGGAGAUUCUAUAAACAAAGCAAGAAAAAUUGACACGUGUCCUAAAACUUUUAUGACACCUUUUUUUGUAAAUUUUGGUGACGGUUCAUGUACCCUGUUUGGUAGGAUAAGGUCGGCCGUAGAUGUCAGGCACGUGUCGUUACUUAACGGUGAUAAAGUGGGUCCCACUUAGACAAAAGUUAGACAAGGACGACCGUACUUAUCUCUUUUUAGCCACUAUCGAUCUAUCCUCCUUUCUAUUUAAAUACCUUCCCUUUCCCCUAACUCUGAAAAAAAAAGAGAAAAAAAAAACAUUUUUUUACUGUGUUUUAUUUUCUCUUGUACUAAAACUGUUUGGUCGUCGAGAAAAUUUUAGAAUCAUGGGAGUGCCGGAAACUGAUCCAUUGGCUCAAUUGAGCUUGCCGCCGGGGUUUCGGUUUUAUCCAACUGAUGAAGAGCUUUUAGUGCAAUAUUUAUGCAGGAAAGUUGCGGGGCAUCAUUUUUCUCUGCAAAUCAUUGGCGAAAUCGAUUUAUACAAAUUUAAUCCAUGGGAUUUACCAAGUAAGUUUCACCGAGUCCAACGGAAAGAAUGAACUUUGUUUUUUCUUUUUUUUGUUCAUUUCUUUACUAAUAAUAAAAAAUUUAAAUUGUUUUUUGACAGGUAAAGCUUUGUUUGGUGAAAAAGAAUGGUAUUUUUUCAGUCCUAGAGACAGAAAAUAUCCGAACGGGUCACGACCUAAUAGAGUUGCCGGGUCCGGGUACUGGAAAGCUACCGGAACUGAUAAAAUUAUCACAACGGAAGGCCGUAAAGUUGGUAUAAAAAAAGCUCUGGUUUUUUACGUCGGAAAAGCUCCUAAAGGAACUAAAACUAAUUGGAUUAUGCAUGAAUAUCGACUCAUUGAAUCUUCUCGUAAAAGUGGUAGCUCCAAGGUAAUCUAUUUUUUUUUUAAAUUAAUUAUUGAAUAAUAAUUGUUUGAACUUUGAAUAAUAAUUACUUUUUUUUUUGGUUGUAGUUGGAUGAUUGGGUUUUAUGUCGAAUAUACAAGAAGAAUUCAAGUGGUCAAAAACCAUUGUCAAGUGUUUCAAGCAGAGAGCAAAGCACGAAUGGGUCAUCAUCAUCGUGUUCUUCACAACUGGAUGACAUGCUUGACUCAUUGCCCGAGUUGGACGAUCGUUUCUUUGCUUUGCCGCGCAUUAACUCGUUCAAAACGCUUCAAAACGAUGUGAAACUGGGGUUUCAAAAUCUGGGUAUAGGGAAUUUGGAUUGGGGGAGUCUUGGUGGGCUUAGCUCGGUGCCUGAGCUGGUACCGAGUGGACAAACUCAAACACAAACUCAAACUCAGAGUCAGGGGAUUACUAGUUAUGGAAAUAGUAACGUAUAUGUCAGCACAAUGCCGCCUACACUUUGUCAGAUGGACGUGUCGACAAAUAAGAUUGGUAACUCGGUGGAAGAGGAAGUACAGAGUGGACUCAGAACUCAGCGAGCUGAUAACUCGGGGAUAUUUCAACAAAAUUCGAAUGUGUUGAACAGUCAUAACUUCUCUAACUCGAUUGACCCGUAUGGGUUUCGGUGCCCGACUCAAUCGGGUGGAUUUGGGUUUAGACAAUAAAAAAAAAAAUUAUAUGUAGAAGGACCAGGAAAGGAAUUUCAGAAAUUGUGUAAAUAUUUUGAAUUCUUUUGGGCUAACCUUUUGGAAUUAUAGAAACCAAAAGAGUUUAAAAAGAUAGCCAAAAUUUGAAAUUUUGCUCUGUUUUUUAGCAUAAUUAAAAUUAUAAGAUUUAGUUUCAGUUUAUAAUCUAAUUUUUCAUUAAGUUAUGAAAUUUUAAUUUUUUCCAAAAAAUUUAUAAAUCAAAUUUAAUCCUAGUACAUGGUGGAUAAGGAUAAAAUGCCAAAUCAUAGUACAAUGUGGUCGAUUAAAGUUUUCCAUCAACAUUUUAUUAUAAUCAAAAUAUUUCUCCACAAAUUUUGGAAUUUAGAACCAGACCUUUUAUGAUGUAAUCUUAAAUGGUAAUGUGUAAUUUUAUUAUUAUUAAUUUAUAAUUUUAAUUUUAAAUUUUAAUUUGUAGGGAAGAUCUUUAUCUACUUUUUCUUCCUUGAAUUCGAAUUAUUUAAAUCAUCGUUGUACUAAAAUAUAUAAACGUUGUACUAAAAAAUAUAUAAACAUAUAUUUAAAUAUUAAAAUGCAGGUGUGCCAUUUUUAUUUAAAAUUUUAAUACAUUUAUUAAUUUGUAUUGUUUUAUGUUCAUGUAAUUGAUAAGCAAAAGGAGACAUAAUAUGUUUACACGUAUUAAUGAAGCUGUCAAUAAAUUUUUUAUAUUGUUGGGAAAGGUUAAGACUUACUUUCAUUUUAUAUAAAAUAUGUGUGAAUUAAUUUUAAAUUUAUUUUAGAUAUGUAUUCUCAUUGUAUAUGUAUUAAUAAAUAAAUAAUAUUAUGAAUAUAUAUUAUUUGUAAUUAUAAAUAUUAAAAAAAAUGGGGGUGCUUAAUUUAUAUCUCAAAAAUAUCAACGUGGGUGUGUUGAUUAGAAAUUGAAUUUUCAAAAGAUAUAUUUUCCCACAGUUGCAAAGAAACGAGGAAACGGGGAGCCGCACACAAGAUAAGAACAUUAUCACAAGCAAAGGCCUAAAAAGUCCAAAACUAAAAAGUAGAAAAAUGAAAUUGAAAUGAAAGGAGUAGGGUUUUUCAUUCUUAUCAACACUUCAAAGAAAAUAGACAAUAUGAAUGGUUAUUAUUCCACCAUGUGUUAAGCAAUUAUAGGUCCAAACAAGUGAAAUGAUAAGUACUAGGUUGUCUUUCUUUUUUUUGAAAAGAAUUAGGUCUUCAUUGAUUGAAAAUUUAUAUAUUUGAUUUUAGUAAUUAUAAAAUGUUUUUGGUAUAUAUAUAUAUAUUGUGUAUACUAUCAAUCUAGUUUUUAGAUAAAUGUUUUAUUGACCCAUUUUAUAUCAUGGAUCAAAAAAGUUAAAUUUAAAAUCGGUACAGUAUACUCUUUUCUUAAAACAAAAUACUAAGAAAAAUUACAAUAGAACUUGUUGGAUCAUCUGUCAAUUGCUCAACAAAUUACUUCUUUGGAAUGUUUAAAAAAAAAAGAUUUAGAGGAUUAACAAGUGUCUAUAGGAAUAUAGUAAAAUAUUAAAAAAACACAUAAUAAUUUCUUAAAGUUACUUGUGAAAAAAAAAAACACUAGCAGUGUACCAAAGACUAAUAUUUAUAAAUAUAUUAUUUGGUAAAUAUAAUUUUUUUUAAAAGUAAAAUAUCAAAAAAUAAAUAUUAAAUGGAAAUAAAAAGUAAAAAUAUAUAUCUAAAAACAUUCAAAAUAAUAAGAGUAUUGUGAUUUGAUAUUUUAUUUAAAUAAUAAUAUAGUGUUAAGAUAAAAAAAUAAUUUACUCGUUAAAAUUAUUCUGUAUUAAAUGAUAAGUAACCCUUAAUUCAUUUUUUUCAUUUUUAUUAAAAAAGUUAAUUAAAUGAUGUUUAAUAUUUGUUAUCAAAUACAUUAAAAACUUAAACUAUUAAAAAUUGUUGGAGCCAAUUUUGUCUUCCAGUUAUAACGUCAAUUGUAAUUUAAGGCGUAGUUGAAAAUUGGACAAAAUUUACCUUUUGUGAAUUGGUAUAAUUUUUAUCCAAAACUUGGCUUUGUGUCUUGGACUCUGUUAAAUUUAUAUAGUGCUCUGUGAUGCUGAUAUGUGAUGAUAUCAAAUCAAGCUAGGAUUGAAUCAAAUUCUUAAUGUAAUCCAAUUUCCAUUGUUUAGAAGAACAAAUCAUAUUGAGAUUUGAAUAUCAUGGAGAUCUUAGACUUAUCUUUAUCUUAACUAGUGUAAAGAUAAAUUGAAGAUUGUUUUGUAUGGCUACUUACAGGGGAAAUGUGAUUGUUCUUGAUUGUAAAGUAUCAAGCUAAAUGACUUGUAUCUAUGCAUCACUUGUAUUAGGUUAGACAAGAGAUAAAAGAGCACUUCAUUCUGUUCAUUAGGGAACUGUUAUUUUUUUAGUGUAAAAAUUGUAAGUAAACACAAGUGAGUCACUUGGUUGAUAUUUAAACUUUUGGCAGAAAUGACUUAGAAGAGAGUGAUCAUGCUUGGAGUAUAUAGGUGUGAGGUUGCUACUUGAUGAGUUAGUAGGACUUAAAUCACAACUUGUACCUAUUGAAAUAUAGAGGAUUAGUUCUCUAUGUAAAGCCUUGUAGAUAUAGGAGGAUUUUGAAUCGCGUAAACAAGUUCUCUAUGUCCAUCUUCUACACGAUAUUAUCACCAGAGUUAGAAAGAAAAUAAAGAUGAAUUGUGGAGAGGGUACAUUAUUUAAAGUUCCACAAGUUGAAUUUCAUAGUCAAUUAGUUCUAGACCCUACACUUGAUUUGUUGCCAAUUGCAACUAGGCCUGACACUAGCCUAAAAAUGUGUCACAUGUUUGUGCAAAACCACAUGUUGAUUGUAACACCCUUCAACCGACCCGAUCACCAGAUCUGAAUGUGUGAUGUCAUAUUACAUUGCCAAAGCAAUUUAAGCUAACUUGACACAUAUUCAUAAAAUUUAGUUAAUAAUUAUCAUCCACAUCAAUUAAAUCACCCAUACCUUCAUAAUAUAUAGAAUUCUAAUUCAUAAUGUUGAUGAAUUGUUAUUUCUAAGUGCAAAAAUUGUAAGUAAAUAUAAGUGAGUUGCCUGGUUUACAUCUAAGCUUUUAGGGGGAAUUACUACUUGGUGAAUGACAAGGACUUAAAUCAUUAAGGAACUGUUAUUUUUUGGCGGGAUUGGUUAUCUGUAGUUGCCACUUGGUCCAGUUGCACCUUAUGAAAUAUAUGGAUGUAUAUCUAUUUAGAAAAUUUCAACCAACUCUCAAAUAUUUUAAUUUUCAAUGAAUUGAAAAUUUUCAAUUAGUUAUCAAAUAAGCUCAUUUGGGUGCAUUUAGUUCAUGUUAUGUAGCAGUACCUUCCAUAAUCUCACAUUCUAGAUUAAGACAACUUUAUUUGGGUUUGGAACAUCCUCAUUAUUUUGUAAUCUCACAUUCUUAAAUAGUGUCAAGACAUUGAAAUAUUGGGUGUAACUCAAUACCACUCAUUUUUUAAGUUAUCUUAGAUUGCAUAUGUAAUUUAAAAUUUUGGACUAAUUUAUCAUUUAUUUUUAUUAUUUUAAUAUUUUUUGUCUUUUUUUUUUUUCAAAUGAAAUUGAAGUUUAAAAUAAAACAAAAUUCCCUCCUUUUCUUAACAAUGAAACAAUAAAGGUUAAACUUUAAAAUUGUAAUUAUUGUGUAAACAACAUAUGAUGGUAGUAAUUAGGGUAGUAAUUAAGUUUCUUUGUUGAGGCCAGAAUGACUUAGGUUCAAGUUUUGUUGAUGCAAUCCCUCUCUCUUGGGGCAUAGUCAAGGGGGUAGGCAUGGGCUUGACCCCUUGACUCAAUGGUGUUAUUGUAAUUGAAGUUCCUUAAUACAAAAUUAUUUAGCUUUGGACCCCUAAAUUUUUUUUAAUUUUGUCUCCCCCACAUAAUUUCUAGCUUCGCUUCUACUCUCCCCUAAUUUAUGACUUGACUUUGUAAUAUAUAUAUAUAUAUAAAUCUAACACUUUUGAAAUGAUAAAAAGGAAAACAUAAGCAGAUAAAUAUAAAGUUCCUAAGUACGGUUCAAGAUAUGCAUUGAUUUUUUGUUGUCGUUUUCUAAUAUCCUUUUCCUUGCACCUACCACGAUUGUUUAGCCAAUACGGCUGCGAAAGAAAAUCAAUGUUCCUAGCCUCCUUUUAUCCAAAGCAUUAGAAUUAAGCUUUUAAUUAAUUAAAAUAUUUUAUAUAAAUAUUUUACCAAAUCCCAAAAAAACUUAAUAUUUAGUACAAUAAUGGUCUAUGAGUUUAUAAAUCGUUAGUGCUAUUUAAAAAGAAAUUAAAUAAAUUUAAUUUUAAAAUUUCAUAUAUAGAAUUGUACAAAAUUAAAAUUUAUGUAUAUAGUUACACAUUAAAUCAUAAUUUAUGUAUAAUUUUAAGUUUUAUUCUUAAUUUUAUAACAUAAGAAUGAUGUAAAUUACAAAUCAAUCAAUUAGAAAGCUUUUGAGUUUCAAAUGCUGUUGAAAUGUUGCUAUAUUUGAAUAAAUUAAUAAGAUUUAUUAUUAUGUGGAUGGGAGAAAUGAUGCAAGUUUUCUUCACCUUUUUUCCAAUACUCUUUUGUGCAUGUGUGAACAUAUAAUAUAGGAAAAUAAUUUUGAAAAAAAAAGUCAAAUUCAAAUAAUACUAUAUAUAAAAUGAGAACUCGAAAUGAAAUUCCCUAGCUCACAAUUCAUAUAAUGGGGACUUAAAGAGAUUAUAAAGUCAAAAUCAAACAUGUUUAUGUAUACGGCAAUAAGACUUUUUUUUCC